rnacentral:rRNA from 1 species
AACGGCUCACCAAGGCCACGAUGCAUAGCCGACCUGAGAGGAUGAUCAGUCACACUGGAACUGAGACACGGUCCAGACUCCUACGGGAGGCAGCAGUGGGGAAUAUUGGACAAUGGGCGAAAGCCUGAUCCAGCCAUGCCGCGUGUGUGAAGAAGGCCCUCGGGUCGUAAAGCACUUUAAGCUGGGAGGAAGGGUUGUAACUUAAUACGUUGCAGCUUUGACGUUACCAGCAGAAUAAGCACCGGCUAACUCUGUGCCAGCAGCCGCGGUAAUACAGAGGGUGCAAGCGUUAAUCGGAAUUACUGGGCGUAAAGCGCGCGUAGGUGGCUUGGUAAGUUGAAUGUGAAAUCCCCGGGCUCAACCUGGGAACUGCGACCAAAACUGCCUGGCUAGAGUACGGUAGAGGGUGGUGGAAUUUCCUGUGUAGCGGUGAAAUGCGUAGAUAUAGGAAGGAACACCAGUGGCGAAGGCGACCACCUGGACUGAUACUGACACUGAGGUGCGAAAG